rnacentral:lncRNA from 1 species
CAGACUUAAUGCAUUUUGAAAAGUGUCUGUAACAAUCUGCUUCCCAGAGGAGAGCUGUCCUGAGGAGCCUGUGUGAUAGGCAAGGAGAGACAUGCCUGGACCAAACUAAUGGGAGGGACUCUAAUUGGAGCAGGAUGGCGGGAUGACUUUGAGGUGGGAAAGAAUAAAGGGAGCAGGAUGAUUUGUGGUGCGUUUCAAUUGGAGGUAAUAAGGACUCAGAGCUCCACAGAGACCAAGGGAUUGGAGGGUAAUACCGGAGGCCAGUCACGUGGUAAUACGGAACAGUUUAACAUCCUGUCUUGUCUCAGAACUUGCCACUGACUGAAGAAAUAUGAAGCUCCUGAUGGCCUCCACACUCUCUGUGACCCUCCUCAUUCAUUAGUAUCAAGCCCGUCCCAUGACUCGGCACCCAGUGAGGAGGAGACAAAGGAAACCGGGCCAGCACAGCAAGAGACCCAGAAUGAUGGUGGCACAGAGGGCCAUGGGCAGACGUUCCUGUAAGAGUGUGCAUGAGCCUAUUUGAACAGAUUUUGCCUAAUGAGAACCAGAGAGGAGGCUGCAGUGUACACUGAGGGCGGAGACAGAAACACCAGAACAGACCAGGUGCCCAAGGUCACCAGCACUCACAAAGGAGCAGAUUCUUAUUUCCUGUGCUGUGGUCCAAGAAGUCCUGACGCUGGGCAGGAGGGAUGCUGGACGAAGGCUCAGUCUCCACUCCGAGGAGGAAAAUCAGCGCAGGAAGCAGGGAGCUCACGGUGGAGUUGUCUAUAA